AGAAAAAGCAACGAAGCUCGUCUUUCUCUCUCAUUCUUUCGCUUUUUCCACUGUCUCUUCGGCUUAGCAUCAACAAUGGCGUGAGAAUGGGAGGAGUUCCGUAGAGGAAUGCCACACCAUUGCUUCGAUCUCUUGAUCUCCGUCUUGAUCCUUGCUCGAGGUGCCAUUUCUAGACUGCGCUUGAGAUCAGUGAGCUGGCGGCAUUGUUUGUUUGAGCUUUGGUGAUUCAUGGAGAUGGGGAGUGCUUCGGAGGAGGAUGUCUCCGAUCGGCAGAGUGAUCGGUGUGGGAGUUAUAGCCCUAGUGCUGAUGUGAGUGAGUCUGAGUCGUCCGUUGAGUUCCGGCCGGUUUCCGGCGUUGGGACUUCGAGUUCUUUCGCUUCGUCUCCGCUUCUGGCGAAGGCGCGACCCCAGGCCCCGCCGAUGAUCCCGGGGGCUGAUUUGGUCUUCUGGGAGGGAAAGCCGGAGAGAAGGGAGCCCGAUUUCGCCGAAGUGGAGAUGAUGAAGGAGAGAUUCUCAAAGCUUCUUCUUGGCGAGGAUAUGUCCGGCGGCGGUAAGGGCGUCUGCACUGCCCUGGCGAUCUCCAACGCCAUCACAAAUCUCUCCGCUACUGUGUUUGGAGAGUUGUGGAGAUUAGAGCCACUGGCUCCGCAGAGGAAAUCAAUGUGGCAGCGAGAGAUGGAAUGGUUGCUAUGUGUGAGUGAUUACAUUGUGGAGCUCAUUCCUUCUUUGCAAGAGUUCCCAGGAGGAGGGACAUUUGAGGUGAUGGUGUCACGCCCACGCUCAGAUCUCUACAUGAACCUCCCUGCUCUGAAGAAGCUUGACGCCAUGCUUCUUGCAAUGUUGGAUGGGUUCAGGAACACUGAGUUUUGGUAUGUGGAUAGGGGGAUCCUGGUCGCUGAGGCUGAUGAGGACAGUGGUGAAUCAUGCCCGUCUUCGUCAUUUGGGAGGCCGUCUUUUAGGCAGGAGGAGAAGUGGUGGCUCCCGUGUCCGAGGGUACCGACUAAUGGUCUGUCUGAGGAUUCAAGGAAGAGGCUGCAGCAGUGUAGGGAUUGUGCAAAUCAGAUACUGAAGGCAGCUAUGGCGAUUAACAGUGGAGUGCUUGCAGAGAUGGAGAUUCCUGAUGUUUACUUGGAGACUUUACCCAAGAGUGGAAAAGCCUGUUUAGGCGAGAUCACAUACCGCAAUAUGACAGCUGAGCAAUUUUCUCCGGAAUGUAUAAUGGAUUGCUUAGACCUGUCAUCUGAGCACCUUACUCUGGAAAUAGCAAAUAGGAUUGAAGCAGCCAUACACAUAUGGAGACUUAAAGAUCGUAAAAGACACCCAAACCAAUCAAAAACAAAGAAGUCAUCAUGGAGCGGAAAGGUCAAGGGUCUUGUCAGUCCAGUGGAAAGGAAUCAAUUUCUAGCUCAACGUGCUGAAUGCCUCUUGCAGAGCCUAAGGCUUCGGUAUCCUGGUCUCCCGCAGACUGUAUUGGAUAUGAACAAGAUUCAGUACAACAAGGAUGUAGGUCAGUCCAUCCUGGAAAGCUAUUCGAGGGUAAUGGAGAGUCUGGCCUUCAACAUAAUAGCAAGAAUAGAUGAUCUCAUUUACGUGGAUGAUGCAACAAGGAAAACUGCUGCUACAGACUCAGUGUCAUUGUUUAACCCAGGAAGGUUGGGAGGGCUUCCCAUUCAAAAGAGGAUCUCUCCUAGCCCCUUCUCCAUCCAUAACACUCCAUAUGCAUCCCCAUUUGCAACCCCAACAUAUUGUUCAUCAACUCCAGUUAUUCAUAGUCCUGGCAGAACACAGUCAUCUCGAAGCAAAGGUGGCCUUCUUGGACAAAAAGACGGAAAAUUUGGCAAACUUGCUGCUGGUGAUAUAGAGAGAGUUUGGUCAUACACCGGCAACCUCAGUGCAAGAAAAGAUGCCGGAGAUGCCCCAGAAAGGGACUGACUUAAAUUAUAAGAGCACUUGAAAGGAUUAUUAGGAUCCGAACGCCUUCCUUGCAUGAGGAUAGAGCUAGAGGCAGCACUGGCGCCUAGACGGGCUUGUCGACAUGAUCGUUGAGCCUGGUGAUGUAAAUUAUCCAAGGAAAAUUGCAGCUAUUGAUUUGGAGAUAAGUGGACAAUCAAGGGAAGGUUCAGAAGAAUGUGCAUGUCUGGUUCGAAUUAUUUGAUCAUCUCUGUUCAUUUAAUACUUGCAUCAGAAUCUAAUUUUAUGGUUGCCAUCUGUUAGAAUUUCAUCCAGACAUUUUUAUUUUUAUUUUAUU